rnacentral:rRNA from 1 species
GACGAACGCUGGCGGCGUGCUUAACACAUGCAAGUCGAACGGAAAGGCCUGCUUUCCCUUGUGGAUUGCGGGUACUCGAGUGGCGAACGGGUGAGUAACACGUGAGUGAUCUGCCCCCAACUUGGGUAUAAGCCUGGGACACUGGGUCUAAUUCCCGAUAGGACUGCAGGGUGGUGCCUGUGGUGGAAAACGAUUUUCUAGUGGUUGGGGAUGAGCUCGCGGCCUAUCAGCUUGUUGGUGGGGUAAUGGCCUACCAAGGCGGCGACGGGUAGCCGGCCUGAGAGGCUGGACGGCGACAGUGGGACUGAGGUACGGCCCAGACUCCGACGGGAGGCAGCAGUGGGGAAGAUUGCACGAUGGGCGGAAGCCUGAUGCAGCGACGCCGCGUUGGGGAUGACGGCCUUCGGGUUGUAAACUCCUUUCGACCGCGAGGAAGCCACCUGGUUGGAAGGGUGGUGACGGUAGUGGUAGAAGAAGCACCGGCUAACUACGUG